rnacentral:rRNA from 1 species
GAGGAAUAUUGGUCAAUGGACGGAAGUCUGAACCAGCCAAGUAGCGUGCAGGAUGACGGCCCUAUGGGUUGUAAACUGCUUUUGUAUGGGGAUAAAGUUAGGGACGUGUCCCUAUUUGCAGGUACCAUACGAAUAAGGACCGGCUAAUUCCGUGCCAGCAGCCGCGGUAAUACGGAAGGUUCGGGCGUUAUCCGGAUUUAUUGGGUUUAAAGGGAGCGUAGGCUGGAGAUUAAGUGUGUUGUGAAAUGUAGACGCUCAACGUCUGACUUGCAGCGCAUACUGGUUUCCUUGAGUACGCACAACGUUGGCGGAAUUCGUCGUGUAGCGGUGAAAUGCUUAGAUAUGACGAAGAACUCCGAUUGCGAAGGCAGCUGACGGGAGCGCAACUGACGCUGAAGCUCGAAGGUGCGGGUAUCGAACAGGAUUAGAUACCCUGGUAGUCCGCACAGUAAACGAUGGAUGCCCGCUGUUGGUACCUGGUAUCAGCGGCUAAGCGAAAGCAUUAAGCAUCCCACCUGGGGAGUACGCCGGCAACGGUG